UACGUAGGGGGCAAGCGUUGUCCGGAAUCAUUGGGCGUAAAGAGCGUGUAGGCGGUUCGGUAAGUCGGCUGUGAAAGUCCAGGGCUCAACCCUGGGAUGCCGGUCGAUACUGCCGGACUAGAGUCCGGAAGAGGAGAGUGGAAUUCCUGGUGUAGCGGUGAAAUGCGCAGAUAUCAGGGAAGAACACCAUAGUGGCGAAGGCAGCUCUCUGGGACGGUACUGA
rnacentral:rRNA from 1 species